UACGUAGGGGGCUAGCGUUAUCCGGAAUUACUGGGCGUAAAGGGUGCGUAGGUGGUUUCUUAAGUCAGAGGUGAAAGGCUACGGCUCAACCGUAGUAAGCCUUUGAAACUGGGGAACUUGAGUGCAGGAGAGGAGAGUUGAAUUCCUAGUGUAGCGGUGAAAUGCGUAGAUAUUAGGAGGAACACCAGUUGCGAAGGCGGCUCUCUGGACUGUAACUGACACUGAGGCACGAAAGCGUGGGGAGCAAACAGG
rnacentral:rRNA from 1 species